GGGCAACCGGGACAGAAUCCGGUGCCCCGACCGGGACUAGAACCUGGUGUGCCGGUGCCGCUAGGUGGAGGAUUAGCCUAUUGAGCCACGGUGCCAGCUUAAGAUAGGGUCUUUAUGGAGGUAAGUAAUGUUAAAAGAGAGAAAACACUGGGUCCGAUCCCUGAUCUGAUAGGGCUGGACUCCUCAACAUAUCAUAGUUGUAAGUCCCAGACUGAUGACUCCAACGUUUCUGCCUCUUCUGAGUCUCGUUCUAUGCUUGCAUUGGCUCUUCACACAGUUAUUUCCACUGUUUAGUUUAGCAUGCCUUACAGCUUUUGCUGAAAGCUGAAAUAUUAUGUAUCAGGCAAAGGGAAUCGAGGUGCUUAGGUAUUUAGUGUGAGGGUUCCUAUUUAUCCGGCUAAUAAUUGGGCUGUGUGUACUGUUCAUGGUAGCUGUAGUGAUGAGACUAAAUGUUUUUCUAGUCUUUCUGUUCAUAUCUCCUCUCUUGUCUCUGGGGCUCUGUAGAGACGUCUUCAUAGACAGCUGUCUCAGAGGUAAUCCCUGUUCCUAGACAGGAGCCCUCUGGAUGUGGUGACGACGGGCAGCGGGGCGGGACGCAUUCACUCUAUUAUCCUGUGAGUAGCUCUUCUAGAAAUCUGUUUCCUGGGCUGUGACAUCACAAGUAUUUCUGUUUCCCUCACUCCUUAAGGCGAGAAAGGAAGACCAGAGUGGACUGGCACUGGACUUUUCCUGUAUCUCAUACCAGUCAGGCUCUUGUAAAACCCAUAUCCGUUAAGCUCUGAUGUGAUGGUUUCCCUCGAGGUUCGCCCUUUGUUAAGGGAAAUAGGAUGCGCUAAGCGUAUUCUGGCGUGGCCACUUUUUCCUUCUCUCUGCCAGAAGCAUGAGGACAUUGUUAUCAUAACUUCAUCCUGAGACACUAGGGGGCUCCUGGAAGUAGAAUUCAUGCGUUAUGGUCUCUUUGAAGGCUAAGGACCAAUGGGUUUUCAAAAAUCUCCCAAGUGAGUCGCACUCACUCUCCACCAGUCAGUUUCUCUCUGUGUUUUCCUCUUAGCUGCUUCCUCCCUCUGAAGCUUCUGCUCUCAAUAAAGAAGGAAUCUCUUUCUUUUUCUGUCUCUCCGGUCAGUGGGGGUGCUCCAGAGAGACGGGACAAACAGGAGACACGUGUACAAGAGAAGCUUUAUGAGGGGACCUGGCACACGUGGCUAUGGAGGUUGAGAGGUCCCAGAACACUCCGGCUGCUGGGAGCUUGUCUCUGUCCAAGCCUGAGAUCCAACGGUUUUCUUCUCAGCAGGAAGCUGAAAAUCUGGGAACCCAGGGGAUCUUGGGUGCAAGCCCUGGAAUCCAAAGGCCAGAGAGCUGGGAGUUCUGAUGUCCAUGGACCAGAGAAGAACACGUUCCAGCCCCCACAGAGAAAAUGGCAGCCCUUCCCUCUGCCUGUUUGCUCUAUGGUGCACUGCAUGGUACCCAACUAUGCAGAGAGCAGACCACCCCACUAGUCUACUGGCCCAAACAUCAGCCUCCUGUGACUAACUGGCCAGCAUCUGGACAGUGCAGGGGCCGGAAGGGAAGAUUCCUGAAGACGGAGAUCAAGCUUGUCAUAGUGGGCUGCUGGGACAUCGAGGGCACGAUGCUGGCCUCUGGUGAGGGCCUUCUUGCUGCAUCGUAGCAUGAGGGAGGGCACACAUGGUGGGGGAGACAGAGCAAGCGUGCUGGCUCUUAGAAAGUCAGUAGCCCAGUCACGGGGGUCCAACCCUGAUGACUUCAUCUAACGCUACCUCCCUCCCAAAGGCCCCGCCUCCAAAUCCCACCAACAGAAGAUUCAGUCUCCGACACAUGAUCUUUGUGGCACAUUCAAACCACAGCCUGAGCGUCUCCAAAGGGAGAAACCCCCAGUGUCUGAGGCUCCCGCUAUCCCUGAAGACUCUGGGCAGCACAUGUCCAUUAGUGACCUCUUCACACCGGGAACUUUUCUUAUCGUGCUUCCAACAGAUUUUUCUAAAAAAUUCAGUUGCUAAGAUGAGUGUAGAGUUCACGUUGGUGUGAGGAGUUGACCUCAAUUAAAAGUUGAGGGGGGAAAAAAAAACCAAAAAACAUGAACAAUAACAUCCUUGGGUUUAAAUUUAUGUACAACGCUUCAGUGGCAUUGACGAACGUGCCAUUUGCAUAUCCGCUGGGCACUGCCCACAUUCUUUCUGUCUUCUCGGGGCUGGGCAUACCAUGACGCCGCGGUCAUGUUGUGUUCUAAUCUUGGGUUCAUUUUUAGACCCUAAAACACAACAUGGAACUCAGGAAGUGUGAAUUUACUUGAACCAAACUGAAAAAAGGUUUUCUCAACCUCUGCAAGAUGAAGCUGCAGAAUUCACAACAGUUUUAAUUAUAACACACUAGAUAAAUACAAUAAGCGGCUCUCUGCUCUGAGGUUGAAAUCUCUAUUUUUAUCUCCAAGCAAACAGUGGGCUGCAGGGGAAAGUCACUACAUUAUGAGUGGUUAUUGGAUCUCUGAGCAUCAACAGCUUCUGUGUCAUUAUAUUGCUUUGUGUGUUAAAGAAAAUCAUUAUCCAGAGAUACAAACCUAGAAAAACAUUUUCAGGUUUUAGAAGAAAUGCUUUUUCCCCCAGGCGAAAAGACUAAGCACAUAAACACCACUGUUACACAAUAACUUGAAAGCAUAAUGCUUCCCUUGACGCUCAGGAAAGCCCUGGAGAGAUGAGGGUAGAACUCUGCCUUUCUCGCCCUCUGCUUUCCAGGGCCUUGAAACGUGGGCCAGGAAAAGCACGGUUUCUCUAGUUACUGCUACAACCAGGAUACACAGGAAGAGCUCUGGGGUUGCCAGAGAGAACAUUCUAGAACUUCUUGUUCAGGGCGCUGGUGGGCUGCAGCAUGGGGGACGGCCCUGAGACCCUGCGUGUACCAUGCAGGGCAGUUUCAGCCGGCACGAUCCUGUUAGUCUUGUUUCUCCGAAGAACCCUGGAAGAACCCUGGAGAACAUUCGUGGGUUCCAGAAAUGCAUACGUACAACACAAUAGGAAGACAAUGAGCAAAGAAACGGGGAUAGAAGAGAAGAAUUACAGGAAGAAGUUAAGAUACCUUCUUACAGAAUGCCGCUUUCUGCUAACCUUGACUAUGAUGACAUCACUGAAUAGAAAUGGUCACUCCCAUCACGGCUUUCCCUGCGAUUCGUGCUUGGGAGACUGUUAUAAGAGAUCUCCCUGAGGGCUCAACGACAUUGCCCCUCACCUCUCUGUAGGUGCUUUGUGUGUCACUCUUCACAUCGAAUCCCAAAGGACUUUGCCUUUCAAAGAAAAAAAGCCCUGUGAGAUCAGGGUGCAGUGCUGUGCUCUUACCAGAAUGUGGUCCCCAAUGCCUCGGGUGCUGGGGACUCCAUCCUCACACCCAUCCGCUGCUGGGAUUUGGAAGUGGGGCCUUUGAGAGGGAUGAGGACGGGAGAGUGGCGUCUCCAGGAUGGGAUUAGCGGCUUUAUAAGAGGGGGAGACACCUGAGCUGGCUUAUCCGCCCUCCUCCCACCGUGUCACGACACCCAAGCCGACCAGCAGCAGGAACCAGCACCUUGGCCAGCACCUGCCACGCUCUGGAAUGAGAGGAAAUAUGCCUCUGUUCUCUGUGGAUGGCCCAGUCUCCAGUCUUCAGGUAUAGCAGUGGAAACUGGACCGAGACAAGCUGUUCCACAGUGCCUUAUACCUCUCGCUUUUCCCCACUGCUCUGGGACGCUGCCACCUGCUAGGCCCCACCCCAAGUCUGCGUAGGGCAGCUCAGGGGCUCGCAUGAGGCGGCACCCACCUCUCUGUGUCUCCUCUGCCAGAACCAGGUCGUGGACUGCUGUGGUCUGCGAUGUGCUGCCACGUGGCGGUGCGGGGGGGAGGCUUCCCUCCCUUGCUUUUCUUUUGCCAAAUCGUCCUAGCUCUGCCUGGACCUCACUUCCCUAGCUGCAUUUUAAAUCUGUUUUUUGAGCACAUAGAGGAAAUCAGCUCUCACUAAGAAAACACUCUAACUGAAAAAUGUAAAUGAAUGCGGCAAGCCCCGUGAUCCGCUUUGAACCUAGGAGUGAAACUCCAAGCGUUAGCCGUGAGUGAAAAUCCAUCCCACGGAGUUUCGAUUGGUCUGGGGCACCCGUGAAUGCUCAUCUCCAAAGUGCUUUGCCUCUGGAAGCCACUAAGGCAGGCACUGCGUUGCCAUGGUAACGGUUACUUUUAGUUAGUACUUUUUAUAGAUUAAAGUGCUACACCCUGGAAUCUGUCCGUGUAAAAGCAUAAAUCUUAAGACAGUAUGGUGCUCCAUUUAAUGUAGAUAUCUAAUGGAAUAGUCAGACUAACUGACCAGAAAUGGAAAGUUUUCAGCAUUUAUAUUCAAAACAGAUAUGCAGUAUUCCCAGAAAUAUAACAUUUUUGUUAAAUAUGCUUGCAAAAUCCAAGUUAACCAUUUUUUCAUCAAUUUAUAUUUUAAAUAAUUAAUCAAUUAUGGCAUAUGCAUAUAUAUAUAUAAAAUGACAGAAGGUUGCAUCCAUCAUUUUAACUUUUUUAUUUUUUAAAAAGAUUUAUUUACUUAUUUGAGAGGCAGAGUUAUAGAUAGAGAGAGGGAGAGACAGAGAAAGAGGUCUUCCAUCUGCUGGUUCACUCCCCAAAUGGCUGCAAUGGCUAGAGCUGGGCUCAUUCGAAGCCAGGAGCCAGGAGCUUCUUGUGGGUUUCCUACAAAGACUUGGGCCGUCUUCUACUCUUUCCCAGGCAACUAGCAGGGAGCUGGAUUGGAAGAGGAGCCGCCAGGACACAAACCAGCAUCCAUACAGGAUGCCGGCGCCAUGGGUGGAGGCUUCAUCUACUACGCCACAGCACUGGUUUUUUUAAAUUUUAUUUUCUAUCCUUGAGGAAAAUCUCCAGUUAUUUUGGAGAAUUCAAAAGACUUGGAAAGGCAUCAACAUGGUGGUACAGUGGGUUAAGCCGCCACUUAGAGUGCUGGUAGCCCAUACUGGAGCGCCGGUUCAAGUCCCCGCUGCUCUGCUUCUGAUCCAGCUCCCUGCUAAUGCGCCUCUCAAAGCAGCAGAAGAUGGUCUAAGUGCUUGGGCCCCUGCACCCAUGUGGGAGACCCAGAUGGAGUUCUGAGCUCCUGGUUCCUGUCUGCCCAGACCUGGAUGUUACAGCCAUUUGAGGAGUGAACCAGCAGAUGGAAGAUCUCCCUCUCUCUGUCUCUGUCAUUCUACCUUUCAAAUCAUAAGUAUAUUUUUAUAAAAAUAAAAGACUUGGGGGACACGAUGUCUCCCCAUCACGGGAGUGAAUGUCAGGCGAGCCCUGGGUGGAAGGGAGCCUGUGAGCCUGGGCUCGGCUGUUGGCUCUGAUCUCUGUUAACUGCGUUGCCUUAAGCCUCCGUUUUCUCAGCCGUAAGACAGGCGUCAUCAAAGCAACUCUCCACGCAGCACUUGUAAAAACCAAACACAUCUUCAGCAAGUGGCAUCUGUGACUUUAAAAAGUGACGGCACAAUGGUCUCAAGUCAACAUUACAGAGAGAGGGAGUGAACGAUACCACGCACACCAGAGCGGAGCCUACUCUACGGCAGAUGGUGUCGGUAGACGCAAGGCCUCAGAGAUGGGGGCUGGGCACAGCUUCCACACCCAUGGGAGAAGCCCUCAGGACAGUGCUCAGCAGGGCAGUGGGGCUGGGCGGAGGGGUCAGGGGCCGGUAGGGUUGGGGGGGGACAAUGGGGCAACAGUGGGAGGACGCAACAGUGGCUUGAGAGCUGCUUUACACAGAGGGUGACAUGGUGACAAGAAGUGUUUCACAAGGAAGGUCUGGCAAACUAAGAGAUGCGUGGAGACAAGCAUGAGGACAGCGUGUGUCCCUGGUCUGAAUCCAGGAAAAGACGCAAAGAGUAAAGAUGGAGAUAUAGGGGCCAGCACCGUGGUGCAGUGGGUUAAAACCCCGGCUUGUAGUGCUGGCAUCCCAUAUGGGCGCUGGUUCAAGCCCUGCCUGAUCCACUUCUGAUCCAGCUCUCUGCUGUGGCCUGGGAAAGCAGUAGAAGAUGGCCCAAGUCCUUGGGCCCCCGCACCCACAUGGGAGACCAGGAGGAAGCACCUGUCUCCUGGCUUUGGAUCGGCGCAACGCGCUGGCCAUAGCGGCCAUUUGGGGGGUGAACCAACAGAAGGAAGACCUUUCUCUCUGUCUCUCUCUCUCUCUCUCUCUCUCUCUCUCACUGUCUAACUCUACGUGUCAAAUAAAA